UUUUCUUAAGUGUACUUUGCACAAGAAGAUUUGAGCUUCUUAGAGGAUUUCCAAGAAAAA
rnacentral:tRNA from 1 species